AUUGAACGCUGGCGGCAGGCCUAACACAUGCAAGUCGAGCGGAUGAGGAGAGCUUGCUCUCUGAUUUAGCGGCGGACGGGUGAGUAAUGCCUAGGAAUCUGCCUGGUAGUGGGGGAUAACGUUCCGAAAGGAACGCUAAUACCGCAUACGUCCUACGGGAGAAAGCAGGGGACCUUCGGGCCUUGCGCUAUCAGAUGAGCCUAGGUCGGAUUAGCUAGUUGGUGAGGUAAUGGCUCACCAAGGCGACGAUCCGUAACUGGUCUGAGAGGAUGAUGAGUCACACGGGAACUGAGACACGGCCCAGACUCGUACGGGAAGCAGAGGUGGGGAAUAUUGGACAAGGGGCGAAAGCCUGAUCCAGCAAUGCCGGGUGUGUGAAGAAGGGCUACGGAUUGUAAAGCACUUUAAGUUGGGAGGAAGGGUUGUAGAUUAAUACUCUGCAAUUUUGACGUUACCAACAGAAUAAGCACCGGCUAACUUCGUGCCAGCCGCCGCCGUAAUAC
rnacentral:rRNA from 1 species